UGAAAUCAACUGAGAUCACCCGCUGAAC
rnacentral:rRNA from 1 species